rnacentral:sRNA from 1 species
UUAAUAAACCUGGAGCCUGAAGUCCUUCCUUUCCCCCACAGAAUAGGUACGAUAUGGAUAAUAGCUGUGCAGGCUUCCUCACACUCCCUGGCCAAUGUGCUUCAAUCCUAUUCUGGAAGAACCACCUUUACAGAUGGGACAGUGCGCCCACCCACUCCUGGCCCUUGCUGCUGAGAUUUC